AGGGUUUGAUCAUGGCUCAGAUUGAACGCUGGCGGCAGGCCUAACACAUGCAAGUCGAGCGGUAGAGAGAAGCUUGCUUCUCUUGAGAGCGGCGGACGGGUGAGUAAUGCCUAGGAAUCUGCCUGGUAGUGGGGGAUAACGUUCGGAAACGGACGCUAAUACCGCAUACGUCCUACGGGAGAAAGCAGGGGACCUUCGGGCCUUGCGCUAUCAGAUGAGCCUAGGUCGGAUUAGCUAGUUGGUGAGGUAAUGGCUCACCAAGGCGACGAUCCGUAACUGGUCUGAGAGGAUGAUCAGUCACACUGGAACUGAGACACGGUCCAGACUCCUACGGGAGGCAGCAGUGGGGAAUAUUGGACAAUGGGCGAAAGCCUGAUCCAGCCAUGCCGCGUGUGUGAAGAAGGUCUUCGGAUUGUAAAGCACUUUAAGUUGGGAGGAAGGGUUGUAGAUUAAUACUCUGCAAUUUUGACGUUACCGACAGAAUAAGCACCGGCUAACUCUGUGCCAGCAGCCGCGGUAAUACAGAGGGUGCAAGCGUUAAUCGGAAUUACUGGGCGUAAAGCGCGCGUAGGUGGUUUGUUAAGUUGGAUGUGAAAUCCCCGGGCUCAACCUGGGAACUGCAUUCAAAACUGACUGACUAGAGUAUGGUAGAGGGUGGUGGAAUUUCCUGUGUAGCGGUGAAAUGCGUAGAUAUAGGAAGGAACACCAGUGGCGAAGGCGACCACCUGGACUAAUACUGACACUGAGUGCGAAGCGUGGGGAGCAAACAGGAUUAGAUACCCUGGUAGUCACGCGUAACGAUGUCAACUAGCGUGGAGCUUGAGCUUUAGUGGCGCAGCUACGCAUAGUGACGCUGGGGAGUACGGCG
rnacentral:rRNA from 1 species